rnacentral:rRNA from 1 species
UACGUAGGGGGCAAGCGUUAUCCGGAUUUACUAGGUGUAAAGGGAGCGUAGACGGCAGCGCAAGUCUGGAGUGAAAUGCCGGGGCCCAACCCCGGAACUGCUCUGGAAACUGUGAAGCUGGAGUGCAGGAGAGGUAAGCGGAAUUCCUAGUGUAGCGGUGAAAUGCGUAAAUAUUAGGAGGAACACCAGUGGCGAAGGCGGCUUACUGGGCUUUAACUGACGCUGAGGCUCGAAAGCGUGGGUAUCGAACAGG